AAGAAAACAGGCCAGAGCGAGAGCAUUGGCUCAUCCGGUGCCGUAUACAGGCCAAGAGUCUGGUAGUUUGAUCUUUUACAUUUCCUGAAAGACUUCAUUACACCACGCGAAAGCCGGUGUAACAUUCCGAACAGUGUUGUGCCUCACAACUCUGGUACAGAAAUCCCGAGGACUAGGAAGACGCCUGACAACUCAGUGAUAGAAAUCAACAGGACUGAGAUCAUAAUUUUUUAUGAUGAGAGUAGUAAUAUCGAUAGCCCACCAUGUACAUCAAAUAGUGAACGCCCAGAUAUCACAAUUGAUAAUAUGGAUGUGGUGGUAGUUAACAACAGUGCUGAAUUUGAGGUGCCUAGUACUCCAGUGGUUUCUGGUGCAUAUUCCACUACACCAAAAGUUCGGAAGAUGAGAAAGAGUGAUAGUAAUCCCUUACUAAAUACAGUACUGGAGAACUUAAACUCAAAAUUAACCCGAAAGGCAUUAGACCCAUCUCC